AUGGUGGUAUGGAAGAACUGGGCACUGCCCAAGUGCAAGUUCUUUGCAUGGCUAGUUAUCAAUGAUAGAAUUUGGACGGCCGACAGACUGCAAAGAAGAGGGUGGCCCAACUGCAAUUUGUGUCAACUUUGCAAGAGGGAGCCAGAGACCGCAGCUCAUCAUCUCCUCCAAUGCAGGUUCUGUGCCCGCAUUUGGAAUGCAAUCAGAGUUUGGGUGGAUGCCCCUGAACUAGAUGUAGUGGCCUGGAACGGGAUCCCCACGGUCAAAGAAUGGUGGUCGGCAGUGGUCCUUAGGCGUGGACAUAGGAGGAAGGCGAUGUCAUCACUCAUCAUGCUUGUUACUUGGGAAGUGUGGAAAGAGAGAAACGUGAGGGUGUUCCAACAUGUAUGUAGGUUGCCAAGCGUGUUGGUCGAGGCUAUUAAAGCGGAGGUGAGGCUCUGGAUUAUCGCAGGGGCGAAGCAUUUGGGUUCUUUGAUGCCGCGAGAGUUGGAUUGUAUUUUCUUUCCAUUUGUGUGA
rnacentral:rRNA from 1 species